GCCACGUGGCUUAGAAGCCCAAAUUCAAAAUGGCGAUAGUGCAGAGUCUGACCAUGGCUCACAAUCUGAGGGAGAAGAAUCAGACUUUGAAAUUCAGGACUUACAGAGAAAUCUUAACAGGCUGCGUUUAACACCACCUGCCCAGGCUAUUCGAAUUCGGCCGGUACCUGCUAAAAGGACAAAAUUUAACAGGUACGCUGGAUUAACAAUGACUUUUCUUACCCCGUUCCAGCGAGGUAUUAAGAAAGCACAGGAAGAUGGGGAGGAUACUAGCAGUUUUCAACUUUUUCCUGUUUUUGAGCAAGUUAAUGAGCAAGAUCAGAGAGUUAGAGUUCAUGCUGUAAUCCCAUUUAAGACCAUUCAGGAACUAAAAAAUGCAUGUGAGACGUAUGGUCCAAAUUCGCCUUUCGUACAGAGCCUGAUAGAAAAUAUUUGCUCGCAGACCCUUCCUCCUAGCGAUUGGAUUUCUUUAGCCAGAUCCUGUCUGAGCGGGGGAGAUUUCUUACUCUGGAGAACUUAUUGGACUGAUUUUUGUACUGAACAGGCAGAAAAGAACAAAAGACAGGAUAUAGAAACACCAAUAGAGAUGUUUCUAGGGACCGGUGAUUUCGCUGAUUUAGAAAGACAGUUAAAUUAUGAUUUUGUAGUAUACAAUCAAAUAACUGAUUGUGCAAAACGUGCUUGGAGACAGAUCGUCUCUAAGGGCCAAUCCAAUUUAGUUCUUACCAAAAUCAGGCAAGGUGCGAGUGAACCUUACUCAGAUUUCGUAGCCCGAUUGUACCAGGCUGCAAACAGGUCAAUCGGGGACUCGGGAGCAAGUGAGUUCAUUGUUAGGCAACUGGCAUUCGAAAAUGCAAAUAAGUAUUGUCAAAAUGUUCUUAGACCGCACCGUAAAAAAGGGACAGUUUCCGAGUUUAUUCGCUUAUGUUCUGACCUGGACUCUACCCAUUUACAGACAGUAGCCCUAGCCGCAGCACUAAAGGAAACUUUGAGUCCACAAGAUUUAGUUCAAAAACCCUGCGGGAGAUGUUACGUUUGUGGGAAAAAUAAUCAUUUUGUGCGUGAGUGUCGCAUGCGCGAUUUUAAGUUCAGGGCUCCAUAGUCUGGCGAUAAUAGAUAUUGCAGGGCUCAGCCCCAUGUGGUAGAUCCAGAUGGCGCGGAUGAGCCCACCUUCUUGUCAUCAUUUCCGCCUGGCCGAAACACAAACUUCCGGUCGGCCCGCCCCUGGGCCGAGAAUGAGGAAGUAGGUGAUGGUUGCGCAAUGUGACGUCAUCGCGCCGACCAUGGGGGCCGCCAUCUUUGAUUUUACCGGAGCGAAACAAGCAGUUUCCGUACAAACCCCUAAUAAUUUUCAAGGCUUUUAGGAGAUAUUAAUUGGCUGAGGCCAUCCCUAAAACUAACUACUUCUGAGUUAAGUCCUUUAUUUCAGAUAUUACAAGGAAAUCCCUCUCCAACCUCUCCAUGCCAGCUGACCUUAGAGGCUAGAACGGCUUUAAGGAGAGUUGAACAUGCAAUUAAAAAUGCACAGCUUACUAGAGUUGAUCCUAAAGAAAUAGUGUAUUUAUUAAUAUUUCCAACUGAACAUACCCCAACAGGAGCCAUAUGGCAAAGAUUAGGAGUUAUUGAGUGGAUUUAUUUAUCCCACUCUCCUCAAAAAACAUUAAUUCCUUUUCAUGAUUCUAUAGCUCAAUUAGUAAUUAAAGGUAGAACUAGGAUUUUACAAUUAAUUGGAUCUGAGCCUGAUAUCAUAAUUAUUCCAUUUUCUGUUCAACAGACUAAUUGGCUUUUUCAAACUUCUAGUUCAUGGCAGAUAGCCUUUGCUGAUUUUCCUGGCCAGAUAGAUAGCCAUUAUCCUCGUGAUAAGAUUAUACAAUUUGCAUCAUUAACGUCACUUAUUUUUCCAAAGAUUGUACGUGCACAUCCUAUAGAUGAAGCUUUAUUGGUGUUCACGGAUGGUUCUAACUCAGGUAAAGCAGGUUUUUAUAGUCGUGUUCACACAGAGAUAAUACAAACUUCUUAUACUUCUGCCCAAAGAGCAGAGCUUCAAGCUCUGAUUUGUGCCUUUAAUUACUUUUCUAAUGAGCCUAUUAAUAUUUAUUCUGACAGCUUGUAUGCAGUCAAAGUUACUAAAAACAUUGAAACUUCAGUUAUUGGGUAUACUUCAUCACAGGAGUUAUUUGAAUUAUUUCAUAAUUUACAAAAGGCAGUGCUAAUGCGAAAAUACCCAUGUUUCAUAGGGCACAUAUGGGCUCAUACUAAUCUUCCAGGACCCUUAGUUUCAGGUAAUGACAAGAUUGAUAAAUUAGUAACUUUUUGUCAACAGAUGUCUUCAUAUGACUGUGCACUAGCUUCCCAUUCCUUGCAUCAUCAAAUGCUCCAGCUUAUGUAAGCUCUUCUUUUCAACAAUUUUGCCAAGAGUUUAAAAUUAAUCAUAAAACAAAAAUUCCUUAUAACCCCCAAGGUCAAGCCAUUGUGAAACGAGCUCAUUUAUCUAUUAAGCUUCAAUUACAAAAAUUAAAGGGGGGGGAAUAGGUUUAUGACUCCCCAAAAUAGGAGCCCCUAUCCAGAAGGAAGAGAUAUCGGAAAAGGAUGAAGAAAGACCAGAUUGACCCAGCCGAAAAGCUGAUUUCAUGGGAAGAUGUGAAGAAGCUAACAACCCAGGCUUCCCAAAUACUUCGACACCUAGGAGAGAACAGGACCCCAGUGAUGAUGGUAACAACAGUAAUUGCCCUGUUGGGCUGUCAGGUAAAGGGAGAUCAAGUAGACACUUAGUGGACAUAUUUCCCAGAUCCACCCCUGGUACACCCAGCUGUGUGGACUGGAGAAUCUAUUCCAGUAUUUACUAAUGACUCAUUCAUGAUGGGAGGAUUUACGGAUACUCAUAUUACUCCCAAUCAUGUGACUAGAUUUAAUUAUUCUGGCUACAGUGCCCAAUUACCUUUGUGUUGGUCCCAUGAUAAACAUGCUGGCUGUCUGAAAGUAUCAUUCGAAGAAAAGACAGCGAUUGGUAGACCUAGACUGAGAAAUAAUUCUAUUUAUGGGGACUUAAGACCUAUACUAGAUCAGUAAUUGAGAUGGGACUUUCCCAUAACAAGCCAGUCAUUUCUGUAAAACCUCCACGGAUACCCCACUGUCCAAAUAGUUCUACAAUUGAGAUUGGCACCUUUCCUAGAAGGAUGGAUUGUGUGAAUACCUUUCCUGUACAACAUAAGGUGUCUAAAGAUAGUGGGUAUAUUUUAGACUGGUCUCCAAAAAUUGAUAAGAGACAAUUACGAAGAAAUUCUGCUAUGACACCUGCAGGAUUUGUUAGUAAUAUUUUAACUUAUAGUGAAGAUGGUGUUCAAAAGGAUGUUUGGCGUUUAAUUGCUGCCUCAGAAUUCUUACAUUUUACAGACAAACCUUUACCAAAAUUUGUUGGCAAGAACUGUAAAGAGGGAUCUUGCUAUGGCUUACAAGCCUGUGUCCAAUCUCCUUAUGUUUUAAUUAUUGGAAAUGUAAAGGUUAAAUGGAUAGAUGACAGAUAUAUUGUUACUUGUAAUAAAUGUAACCUAACCAAUUGUAUUACUAGGUAUAAUGGAGGAAAAGGAGUGCUGAUACUACAUCAGCCCUCUUUCGUUUUAUUGCCUGCUAAUAUUUCAGAGCCAUGGUAUGCGGAUACUGGUUUACAAGUCUUGCAGCAAAUUCAUGCCCAGUUAGCAAGACCUAAACGUGCUAUUGGAGUUAUAAUUGUUGGUGUUUUGGCGCUAGUCUCCUUUAUUGCCUCAACUGUCUCUGCGUCUCUGACAUUGUCUCAAAAUAUUCAGCAUGCAAAAUUUCUUAAUAAUUUAGCUCAAAAUACUUCCAAGGCUCUGCGUAAUCAAGUAAGUAUUGAUGAAAGGAUUGAAACUAAAUUAAACGCCUUAGAGGCGACUGUUAUAGACAUAGGUAAUGAACUUUCAGCCUUAAAAUUUAAGGAAAGGCUUAAAUGCCAUGCUAAUUAUAAGUAUGUUUGUGUUACAGCUGCCAAGUACAAUGCUUCUCUCUGGGAUUGGGAGAAGGUUAAAAACCAUUUGUUAGGUAUUUGGCAAGAUAGUAAUAAUAGCUUGGAUAUUCUGGAACUUCAUCACCAUAUCCAAGACAUUCAAAAUAAUAGAGCUGAUUUUUCAGAUCCUUCUUCUUUGGCUAACCAAAUAUUGAAGGAGUUGAAUGGAUUCAACCCUGGAAAUAUUCUUAAACACUCGGCCUGGUACAUUAUUGGAUUAUUCUCUUUGCUGUUAAUUCUCUUUUGUGUUGUAAUCAUAGGAUGGCGAGUCUUCGGAACAAGAAUACAGAAACUCCAAAGAGUGAACCGCCGCCUCAUUUUUAAGAAAAGAAAGGGGGAAUAUGUGGAGAGCCAUUCUCAUGCGUGACUGGGUGACUCCCGGUUUGGGUCUGAGGUGUUCUGGCUGUGUCGGAACUUUCCCAGCCCUCUCCUGAUGAGAGAACCAGUCCGUGUGGGGGUGUGACUGACCACUGACCCUGACCUUGGAGUGCGGCCCCCCCUCAACCUUCAUUGCAUGGAAUUAUCCCCUGAAUUUCUUGUUCCCCAAUAAAAGGCUACUCCCUGGCGUGCUCGCUCUCUCUCUCUCCUGCUAGCCCUGAGUAAUCCUUGCUGCCCUACGGGUGGUUCGAGGUUGGAGACAGAGAGGGGAGCCGUCUCGGACCUGGUCAUAGAAAAAGGUAACUGAGUCUGUGUGUUUUAUUUCGAUCUCUGCUAGCUAACUUUUAUGCCAAGAACCUCAUUAAUGAAACCAAUGUGCAGGCCACAUGGUGGAAGCCAGGACUUAAGUUGAUAUGCAAAUAGAAGAAGCCUGGGGCUCAGUAGAGGACAGAUCUGAGAUCCAAAGGAAAAAAAAAGAAAUAAAAGUGUCUUUUUACCUGAACUCAAACUAGACCAAACCAAAAAGUAAAUUGUAUGGUAUUUACUAAUUAC
rnacentral:lncRNA from 1 species